rnacentral:ncRNA from 15 species
UCGACUCGGUAUUGAUGGCGACGUCAGUGAAAACUGGCGUUGGAGGUAGUCUGACAACGGUCAGGACGGUGUAAACCGCGAACAGCUCAGAGAGCUGGGGUGCCUCGUAAGAACUCAACAAUCUCACCGCCCCGAUGCACAGAUAUCAGUCG